rnacentral:tRNA from 1 species
GCCAGAGUAGCUCAGUGGUAGAGCAAUCCACUUGUAAUGGAUAGGUCAGGAGUUCAAUCCUCCUCUCUGGCU